GCUUAAGACAUCUCCCCACAAAAUGACAUAGAUCUUGGAUUUGUCCAAAGUUUUAUUGUGUAUUCAAGGGUAUAAAGGAAAACACAUUUUGAUUAAAUGGGGAUUCUUAAGAGAAACCCAGCUAUAAAAACAAAUAGAAAUUCUAAAAGUUAACAAGUCACUUGGACUGGAUUAGAGAGGAAGGGUCAGUGUACUUAAAGAUUAAACCAUGGAAAUUAACCAACUGAAGAACAAAGGAUGGUGAGGGGAAUACAGAAAGAAAUAUAAUGAUCAAAACCUAGGGAUCUACUUUUGAAUGUUUAGAGUAAUCAAAGGAAAAGAAAAAAAAAUAAAGUUGGAAAAGUUAUUUGGAGAAAUGACUUAAAGUUUCUAAUGUUGUUGUAAAACAGAUUUAUAGUUUCAAGAAAAUCCACAUCAACUUUGAUUUAACCAGAACAUACAUAAGAAAACAUCUAAGCACACUGCAAUCAUGUUGCUUAAAGUCAGCGGGAGAAAAAUGAAUCAUUACAUGUCAGGAACAGGGAUAGUACUCAUUUAUCACAAAUAACAGAAGCUAAGAGCAGGGAAACAUCCUCAAAUUCUGGAAGGAAAACUUUCAACUCAGAUCUGCAACAUCCUCUUUUGUUGUUUUGUUUGAGACAAGGUCUCCCUGUGUAAUCCUAGCUGUCCUAGAACUCUUUAGAUAGACCAGACUAGCCUUGAACUUAAAGAUUUUCCCACUUCUACCUUCCAAGUAUCGGCAUCGAAGGUGUGCACCACCACACCCAGCUUGAAAUAUUCUUGAAGAACAGCAAAAGAAAAAAUGUAUUUAGAUGAAGGAAGAACAAUGAGCAUACCUGGAUUGCGUGAAACGCUAAGAACAUUCUACACUCUGUAGAAAAAUGAACUGGCUUGAAUUCAGCUCUUCAGGAAUGAAGAACACCAUUGUUAAUAUGCAGAUAAACUGAAUUUCUUCAGUUUAAAAAUACAGAAUGUGAAGUUUGCAUAUGUAGAUAUAAUAAUGGGUGAUGUUCUCUAUAUGCUGUAUCUACCAUCAAUGAAUGAAAGGAGAAUAUAGAAAGUUAAGGGUGUGCAUUAUAAUAUUUAGAGCAGUGGUUCUCAAACUGAUCUUGAAACUGAUAGAGUCCUAAAUAUUAACAGUGUUCUCAAGGGACCUCAUCACAUGUUCCAAUUACAUAUUAAAAGCUAAAAUACUAAACUGCUAACUCAUUGAAAACCCAGUCCAGUGCAUAUAAAAUCAGUAACCCUUUGGGUAAUAAUAUUUUCCUUUAAAAAUUAGAAGAGUGACAUGCUGUACUCUUCAAGUCUCCUCAAUGUCUGACUUGGCAGAAGACAUCUGGGUUUUCAUGUGCGCGCCUGCAUUCACUGUGCUAGGAUAUGUUAUUCAGAUAGAAAUAAAUUCAGAAAAUCUAACUUUACACAAUUAGGCAUUUAGAAAAAAAAGAGAACUUUAAAUUGUCUAAGUGUGAAUAUUUUCUAUAACACUAUACCAAAACUCCGAAGUAGAACUUUCUGGAAGAUUAGCUUUCAUGAAAAGUCUAAAGCAAUGAGUGACUUUUUAUUAGUCUGUGUUAUACUUUGAAAUUGUUUAUGAGCUUAUGCUUUGAUCAUUUGGGAAAAAGUUGUCACAGAUCUUCAAAGUGUUGUAUUUAGCAGAUGAGCAGCUUGGUCUUCAUGUGGAUUCCCUUUUCCCCCAACACCCGGAGCAGGGGCUGUCCCUGAGCCUGUUGCCUGCCUGCCUAAAACAGGCUGCCUUGUCUGGUCUCAGUAGGAGAGGAUGUGCCCAGUCCCACAGUGACUUGAUGUGCUGGCGAGAAGGGGUAUGAGAGGUUGGCACCCAGAGGGAAGGUGGAAUAGGGGAGACUUGCGUGAGGGUCCUAGGUGAAAAGGAGGGGCUGGGAUUGGGUUGCAAAAUGAAUAAAUAAAAUUUUUAAAAGUUAAAUUCUAUCUACAAAAAAAUAUUGUCUUUCAUAAAGUUGAGUCCCAAAUCACAUAUGUUAGUCCCUCACCAUCUCAUUAGGAAGGUCUAGUUUGUAGAAAACAUUGCACAUGGGUGCAAGUGUGUGUAAUUUCCCAGAAUCUAAUUUACACUUGAAAGUUCUCAUUUAAUUGGUAACUUUUUUUAUUUAAAGGUAUAGGCUUAUUUUGUACAC
rnacentral:lncRNA from 1 species